rnacentral:SRP_RNA from 1 species
GCUGGGCGUGGUGGCGCACGCCUGUAAUCCCAGCUACUCAGGAGGCUGAGGCAGGAGAAUUGCUUGAACCCAGGAGGCGGAGGUUGCGGUGAGCCGAGAUCGUGCCAUUGCACUCCAGCCUGGGUAACAAGAGCGAAACUCUGUCUCCA